GAUGAACGCUGGCGGCGUGCCUAAUACAUGCAAGUCGAGCGAACAGACGAGGAGCUUGCUCCUCUGACGUUAGCGGCGGACGGGUGAGUAACACGUGGAUAACCUACCUAUAAGACUGGGAUAACUUCGGGAAACCGGAGCUAAUACCGGAUAAUAUAUUGAACCGCAUGGUUCAAUAGUGAAAGACGGUUUUGCUGUCACUUAUAGAUGGAUCCGCGCCGCAUUAGCUAGUUGGUAAGGUAACGGCUUACCAAGGCAACGAUGCGUAGCCGACCUGAGAGGGUGGUCGGCCAGACGGGAACUGAGACACGGUCCAGACUCCGACGGGAGGAAGCAGUAGGGAAUCUUACGCGAUGGGCGAAAGCCUGACGGAGCAACGCCGCGUGAGUGAUGAAGGACUUCGGAUCGUAAAGCGCUGUUAUUAGGGAAGAACAAAUGUGUAAGUAACUAUGCACGUCUUGACGGUACCUAAUCAGAAAGCCACGGCUAACUACGUG
rnacentral:rRNA from 1 species